GCAAUAUUUCAAUGAUCACGCCAUCCCCACCUUCCCACUUUCAGCCUGCCGACGAGAGCAUAUAUAAGGCGUGCGUGAUUUCGAUUAAGGCAUAACACAUCAUUUUGUGCAGAUAAAUUCUUUGUUUUCACUUUAAUCCACAAAACCAACCAACAAAUCAAAAAUGGGCGCAGAAAAGGUAUCCAUGAACAUCGUCGUCGUCGGACAAGUCCAGUCUGCCAAGGCCAUCAAAUCGGUCGCCAAAGCCACCCCAGCCACCACCCAAUUGAUGAACUGUUAAUUUAUGUAGUUCAUCCGUCCAUCGCAAACUCAAACAUGUCAUAGCCCAAAUAAUACAAUAUAUUAUUCAAAUUGAUAUUGACAACAUGAAAUAAAACAGCCUCUUUCGAAAUUUAA